AAGAAAGGAAAAACUAGAACAAACCCUAGAUAAGAGAAUUUCAAGAAAAAUUAUGGAAAUUUCAAGGAAUCAAGCAAAAUAAGGUAUGAUUUUUCAAUUUUUGCUUGAUAUCUAGCAUACCCAUGCUUUAUUUUCUUAUUUCUAUGGUUGAGAAGCAUGAUUUCAUAGUAAAUAAGUGGUAGGCCGAAUGGGUAUGGUGAGAGAAAUGAUGUUGGAAUUGUUUGAUUUUAAGUUAUGUUAGUGAUUAAGGUUAGUUUAGCAUAUUUAGAAGCAAAACAACAAGAAAAUAAUCCAUUUUCCCCGUGAAUCUUCAUUGGCCGAAUCUUCCUUGAUGUGUGUGGGUGAUGAAUUGUUAUUAUUUCAAGAAAACUGGCUUAGAAAAUGAUGAAUAAUGGUGAGAAAAUUAAGUAGGAAAAAUCACAGUGUUAGUGCACUGUAAUGGCCGAAUUUUUCCAUGAAGAAAUGGGAGGGUUUUGAUGUUGAAAUUGGUGUUAUUUGAAUAAUGUUUGGUGAAUUGAGGUAUUAGAACAGAAAUGAAGUAAUUUGGGAUUAAAUUGGACGCGUUAGUAAUUUAAUCAGGUGAUAGGCCGAAUUAGGUCAAUAUCGAGUUUAAGCGGUUGAUCGAGCAUUCCAUGCAUUCAUUUAGAUUUAGAGGGCCUGAAAUAGUUUAUGACAAAUUGACACAAAAUAUUGAAUUUUGUGUCAUGUGUGAUGUAUAAGUGGUGAGCUAUUUGAUAAGGAUAAAGAGAUUAUACCAAAGAUUGGGACUAGGAGUAUUUCUACUCCUGAUACUGUGAGUAACCUUACUAUCAUCUUAAUUAUCUGGAGUGAUUUUUAUCGAAUUUUGUGAUUUUAUUGAAAAUGAGUUAAAUGGUAAAUCCUUAUGUUUUAUAAGUAAAAUGUGUUUAAAUAAAAUGAUUUUAUAAAUUGUCUUGAAAUUGAAUUAUGGUUUUGAAAAUAGAGUAAUUGGAGACCACUUGAUGUGUUGUAAAUUUAUGGUUUUAAAUUGCAUUGCUUAUGACAAUAUAUGAGCAUGAAUGGCUAAACUGAUUUUUGGUGUUAGAAUUAUUGGUACUGUAUAUUUAAGCCUUGAAAGGCUAGGUUGCGAUAAAUUGCCAUGUCAUGCAGAUAAAGAUUCUAUAAAUUAGGUGGUAGAUAAAAUAAUCCAUAAUUCCUGCAGUGGAGGUUCUGUCGACCAGCCUAAGAAAGGGGGCAUAGAAUCAGAUAUACCUGGCCUCAAUCGGAGAGCCGUGUGGAGUGUGUCUCUGAAGGUAAAAAUUUGAGUGCACUUCACGUGGACCACCGCUUGAGAGUGAGACUCAGCCAACGUCAAGGAACAGCUAUGUUUUCAAAAUAAAAACAUGAUUUAUGAGUACAUAAGUUUUUAAUAGCCUUGGCGGACUUGGUUUGGGAUAGCCCGCGGCCAAGGUAUCCCUGAUAACUGAGUAUGAAAAUGAUUUUGGCAGGAACCAAGUUCUGUGGAAUACAUAAGCCAAGUUGAUUAUUUGAGUAAAUUGAUUAUUGAUGUUAGGAAAAACAUACUGGAAUGGAAUAUCUUACUUGUCUCCAUUUACUCGACUUUAGAUGGUUUAGAUGGUAUCUAUUUACUCACUGGGAUUUUAUAAUCUCACCACCCUCAAUUCUCCACAUUUCAGGGUUAGGAUAGCCGGUAGAUAGUCAAUUGCAUCAAGGACUUCAGUUAACCUUUCAUCGACAAAAUUGUAGGUUCGCAGACUCGCACCUUAUUGGUUAGUUGGGGGCCCACGUGUCACUGUAAAAGUAAUUUUAUACUUCAGUUAUCUACUUUAAAGUUUUGGUAUUUUCAAAAAAAAAUGACGAAGAUGCCCUUGUGAGCCAGAAAAUAAUAUUAUAUUAUUUUGAUUUGGAAACGACUUAUGAUUUCUUGAAAUGCGAGAUUUAAUAACUGUUGCUCACCGGGGAGAUGCGGAAGCUGAUACUAAGCCUUGCGGAGUUUCGAUCGGCAUUCCGGGAAAUAAGUGCCUAUAGGGACGUCGCAGCGGUUGUCAUGGGCCCGAUGGGAGUUUUGGGUCGUGACAAUCUAAGUGGUACAAUGUUAAGGGCAUAUCACAAUUACAAAGAUAGGCGUUGAGUGCAGUGAGAGUACAGUGAGUGUUUUUUGAUUUUUCAGCUCUUUUUCAGACUUGGAAGCCUUCAAUCUUCUCUCUAUAUAUUUUCUAACUGUUGGAAGACCCUUUUAUACUUGGAGAAACAACUCUGAUGGCAGUUUGACAAUUUAUGGUCAUUGGAAAUAGUUGAGAGAUGGUUCUAGUCGUUAAUCUGUCUUCUAGUGCUCAGGUUCAAAUUGCAGACAAAGAGCUCUUAGUCGACUAACUUUCUUUUUAGUCGAUUAACUUGGUUCUGUUUUCUAGUCUCAAUUUUUGGCAUAGAGUACUUAGUCGACUAACUUAUUUCUUGGUUGACUAAGUCGGUUCUGUUUCUCAAUAUUCUUCAACUCGCCAUUUCUCCAAUUUGAAUUUUAGCCAAUCAAUACUCUUCAUUAUUCAACUAAGGACCUUCCUUUUUGUUGAUCAAUCAUUUUUCCUCAUUCAUGUGAUUUUUGAUAUACACUUUUGACGGAUUGAUUUAUUAUUUGCAUACAAUUUUUGUUCUACACACUUAAGUAGAGAUAUUAGACACAAAUGAAUGGGAAUGUUUUAUUAUCAUCAAAAACUAAUGGAGCCAACAAUCAAACUUUGUGUUAACCGGUUAAAACCUUUUUGUCUAUCCUUAGAGUAGCACCUAAAAUUGUUUUAACUGAUUAAGGAUAUGUGUUUAUCGGUUAAGACUUAUCUGUCUUCAUUAAAGCACUUUCUUCUUUGCUUGUUUAACGAAUUAACCUAUCUUGCAACUGAACAGGCAUCUUGACUUGCUUUCAAAUAACAAAUGAGUUAAAGAAUUUAAGCUUUCUUCUUCACACUUAAAUGAUAUAAUUAGGCAAAACUGAAUGGGAAUGUUUUGUUCUCAUAAAAAACACAUUGAGUCAAUCUUAUUUUUAAUGAUGAUAAAACACUCAUAGAUUAAAAGUGAAAUGUCUAUGUUCAGUAUGAAUGCUUUAAAUCUUUAUGCAUAAUGAGGAUUGCUCCUCUUUAGUUAAUGCAUCUAGUUUUCUUUAAAGAUUUGCAAUAAAAUAUUUAUAAUAUCCAUAAUAACUAAACAAGUUAUACAAUAUGCAUAUUAGCUAAGCAAGAUAUAUUGAAUAUCCAUUAUAACUAGUAGGCAAUAUUCAACAAAACCAAACGAAGCAUUACACACAUAAUUUAAACAUAAAGACCUCUUAAACUCUAUUUAACUUAGUCUUCUUUCUCCAUUUUUCUUUUCAUCAUUGAAAAAGAUAUUCAAAACUCCCCCUUAAUGAGUGCAUCUAGAUUUUCCUUUAAUCUUUAAAUUAGACUUUAAUGAAUAGGAAUGUUAAGUACUCAUACAACUAAGUCAUACGAACUUAUAGAUAUAGUUCAAUAACUUCAAAAGUCAAGCUUGUAACUAUGUAAGAACAUAUGUAUGAGAGGUAAAUCAUGUCAAGAACUUGUCAAGGAUCACUUAAUAAUGUUCAAGCAAAUUUGAUCAUUUUGUCAUAAUCAAAACUAUAAUAAUUUUAAGGAAAUUUGAUCAUUUUGUCAUGAUCAAAACUACAAUAAUUUUAAAGUUGACAAGUUAGAGCAACUUUUUAGAGGAAAAAAAGAACCAUAAACAAAAGAAAAAAGAAAAAGUAAGCAAGCAAGAUCAAAGCUUCGAAAGAUAAAGAUAUUUAUUUCUCUCUCUAGAUUUGUUCUUCUUUCACUUUUUUUGGUUGUAUUGAUGGUUUAUUUCCUGUGGAUGAUAUUUUUUAUGGAUACUAUGAACUAAUUUGCUUAUUCUAGGGUUAUGGUUGAACUCAUCAUGUAAAUUGGAAUACUUAUUAUCUCUUUUGCUUAUUAUCAAUGGGUAUUGAUUUGUUUAUUUCAAUUUCAUGCUUAGUGCUUCUAAUUGCUUGAUCAAUAAUUAGAUUGAAUUGGGUAUUUAGAUGCAACUUGACGAUGUGUUCAACUUACUUAGUUAUUUAGGUGACUUGAUUCGCAUUUAAGAUAGAAAUAUACCUAACGUCACAUGUAACCGAGGUUAGAGCAUACGCUUAAUGAACCUUUCUUCAAUUGAUUAACAUAGACAUAUAGCGAGUCAAUUAGGAGAAGUAUUUGUGCAAGAAUCUCGACAGAUACUAAUAGAUAAUUUUGGAGUCUAAACUAGCAAAUCAACCCAUUGAUUAAGUAGAAGAGAGAAAUUAGUUUCAAAUGAAAUGUUGAGGAAUACCUAGUGACUCUUAACCUUCAAUUUUUAGUUUAAAAUUUGUUAAUUGAAUUUUAUUUUAAAUUGAUCUUUAAAUUUUGUGUGUUUAAAUAAGAUUAAGGUGCUAUAAUUUAAGUACUUAAUGAGAGUUUGGUGCAAUUUCUUGAGUCUAUAAUACUUUUCUUAAUUGAAUUUAAGAUUAGGAUACAAUACUUUUCUUACUACUAUAAUACUUAUUCGAUAUGUAUACUAGCGUGUAUAGAAAAUGGACAACAACUGAGGCUAUCAAAAUUCUUCUAUUACUUAUCCUUUUCGCCUUAGGGUUGAUUGAGGCUGCUCAAAGGUCUACUAUAGCUCUUGAAUCUUCAAGUUUCUUUACCUUUUUACAUGUCUAGUCCGCUAUAUCUUCCUUCUGGUUGAAUAUUGAGCUGAGAAAUGUUUGCUCUUUGUUUCUUUCAAUUAAAAGCUCAAUGUUUGAAAGCUUUGUUAUAUUUUUAAAGUAUGAAUGGCAUUUCAAACAUGUUGCAUGAGUUUAGGAGGUUGAAAAUAUGUUUUCAAUCAUUUCAAAUUCUUGUAAACAAGUCUAGAAUAUCAUGCAAUUUUUUCAAAUCAAUGCAUAAGUAAUUUCAAGGCUAAUAAUCUCCCCCUUUUUGAUAUGACAAAAUCAUGAGCAUAAUUUGCAAUUGAAAUCACUUUGAAAACUCCUCCUAACUCUUUUAGUUUCUAAGCCGUUGUUUGAAAACAUUUAAGUUCAAGUGAGAAAGGUUAAAAAAUGAAUUUAGAAAUACAUUCUCCUCCCCUCAACACAUGCAUAGAAUUUUCAAACAAAGUUUAAAGUUUUAGCUUGAUUUGACUACAAGAGCAUUUUCAAAUUUGCUCAUAAAUCUUCUAUCCCUUUUUGUUAUAUCAAAAAGGUGUAGAAUUGUGAGCGUUGAACACUUAAGCUCAAGAAAGAAUGGUUAGUGAAAAUCAUAAAAAAUAAAUGAGCAUUAAGAUAAAAAUAUCCUAAUGGGUUUGGCUAUGGACAAUAUGCUCAAAAAUACACAACGGAAAGAAAAUUAAAACUUUAGAACUAAACAACCAAAACAUGAAUCCACCCUUGGAUCACCUUGGUGAUAUUUAACAUAUAAAAGCACAAAUUUAUUAUUAUUUAGAAAGUUACCUUGCCAAGUAAUUUCGUAAUCACAAUGGCACUUUCCAAAGCAAUCCCAUGAACAUCACAAGGAGAAAAAACCCUAGCCAAUCAAGUGCUUGGCCUUCAACGGUAGUACACAUGAUUGCAUACGAACCUUCAACAAAGGAGGGAGUUUUAACUAUACUUUGUGCUAGCAAAGAGAACAACAAUUAUCCUUUUCUUCUUCUUCGCAAGUUUAGUUGAACCUCUUCUGAAAAUUGUUUCAUAAGCAAUUUUCUCUUUCACACAAAGGGAGUGGCAACAAAGAGAGAAAAUGCUUUUUCUUUUUUUGACAAAAAUUAGGUUUUCUUCAAUUGUGAAAAUCUCUCUUAUGAAAAAUAGUUAAAAUGUGACUUAUAUAGUUAGGUUAAAAUAACUUCAAUUUUGCAAUUAAGCCCUUAAUAUUAAACAUAUUAUAAUAUUGGGCCCAUUACUUAAUUAAACUCUUUUAAUUAAGUCCUUGGAAAUUAAAAUCAAAAUUUAUUUCGUUUAUAUUUUGCAAUCAAGGCCUUAUAAUUAUAACUAUUUAUAAUUAUGCCUAAAACUUAACUAAGCUCUUUUAAUUAAGUUUAUAGAAGUUAAUUACCUAGCAUGUGAUUUAAAUAUAACUUAAAUCAUCACUCUCCUAAUUUGAUUCAAAUGCAAUCAUUGUGUGUGACCCAUUAAAUUCCUAACAUGUUGGUAAUGAAAUUGAUUAAUGACUUAAUUCAUUAAUAUAAGUUUCAAUCAAUUAAUUUAUAAUUAAUUCCAUAGACCAAAAGUAGCAUCUAGCAAUGCAUCAUGGCCAUUCAAUUGUUAGAAGAGUCAAAGGGUUCUUUGACAACCUUUUAGUUUAUAGUUUAUUAGUGUAAUUCAUUCCCUCAUCAUAUAUCCUAAAGAUGAUAAGAGCUUGGUACCUCCAUAUUUGUUCUUGCAGUUAUAGCAUUAGCUUUAUAGACACUUAUGAAACUUUUUCAUAAUCUCCGUGUCACCUUGGCCAAGGACUUCAGUAAGCAAAUGUUAACCAAGAACUAAUAGAAUAUAUCCUUUAAAACACUUAAGGUGAUGAUUCCUAUCUUGACCACUCAUUUUCCUUCACAUGCUUCAUAUUAUACCCAAAAGCAUCCUGUUUAGGCAUCUUUAGUUAGUCACCUCUAGGGAUGUAAUUAAAGUAUAGCACUCCACAUAAAAGACAACCUAGUGUCUCAUGUGUAGGGUGUAUUUACACGACUGACACAUGAGAAGUGUUGCAAAGAUACUGGAGUGCAUUACCAAAUGCACUUCUCAUGGCGGGACAUGUUUAGUGAACUUGUUUUCCUAGGCAAGCAUUUAUAUUCUAGUUCCAAGUAUCUCUAUACUUUAAUCUAUGAGAUCAAUUGCUUAUUUCCAAAGUAAGGAACAUAGAAUUUACCAAUCUCUAAGCAUCAUUGACGUCUAGUCUCAAUGAUAGAUUGACCAGGAACAUUUUGAGAUUAUGUUUUGAUGCAUAGGGAUCUCAUAAAUUCAACCUGUUAUAGUUCCCUUGCAAGGCAUAUUAAUCUCAUGGACUUCAUUCAAUUAGACUUAUAACUCAUUAUAAUUAAUGUUUUAUUGAUGAAGGAAAACCUCUAAUCAUUCAACAUGAAUAAUAUUGUUACAUGAUUGGAAUCAAGCCUUUACUAAUCCCAAUUGGCUAUAGGACUCAUCCCAACAUCUCUCAUUAGGACAAAGCCAAUUGCCACCUCAUCGUAUGUGGAUUCAAUUCAUCUAGCAAUCAUGUCACCAUGUAGAAUUGCUUGUGCCCUUUAAUGUGGUUAAUUGCUUUUAUCUAUCUUUGUGAUGUCCGUGCAUCACAUCAUGUCAUAUUACUAUAUCUAGAUCGAAUGAGACCUAGGUUCUACUAGUAUGCUGCAUUGUUACAUUAAUAAUGUUCAGAACCUAUUAUUAGUUCCAUGGAUUAAUGAUCUAAAUAUCUUUUUUUAAUAGGAUGUAUAUGACAUUAUUUAUAUACACGUAUAGUCCCUUUUGCUCCUUGGAACCAUUCCAACUAGACUAUACUAUAUGCAUCAUAUGCAUAUGUCACUCUGUGUUAUGCCAUUUGGCCCCAUUAAAUGUUUUUUAUUGUCAUUGUACUCCCACUAAAUCAAAGAUCCUUUGCGAGAGUAAUAUUCAAACUCUUUUGAAUAUUCCAUAAUGUUACACAUAUAUGUACAUCUCAAUGAAUGCUUGGAAUCAUAUUGGUUUGGAAUAUCAUAAUGGGCUUCAUAUGCUGGAGAGAUAUGGACUAAAUCAUAUUGCAAUAUGAAGUUGCUUUCUUUCUUGAACAUUUAUCUCUAUGUUUUGUUCUUAAGAAAGUUCCAUUCUAUAUGAAUCAAUAUUCAACCUUUUCAUCACUUGACCAUAAUUCAUAAUUGAUCAAAUAUCAUUGCAAGGAUAAACAUGAAGCAUGGAUAAUUAAAUAUGUCAUAAUUAUUCAAACUUGAAACAUAUAAGCUUCCAUAUCCAAAUGCUAAAGACAAAUGUUUCACCAACCAUUCCCAUGGCAAUAACAUAAUUAAUGUUUCAAAAACAUCGCAAUAAAUUAUCCAACAUGUUGAGAUAAGUAGAAGUGUAACCAUCCAAUGUAGCAUUUAAUGCUUUAGGUAGUCCAUCCAUGUGGUCACCUUUUCAGCCAAGAUCCUACUCAUCUUUAUCUUUGGUCCUUGCAAUAUGUCAAACAUAUGAGAACCAAAUUCAAGGUAUCAUAUACCUUUAAUAUAUAAAGUAAAUUAUUUAGCAAAUCGUACUUGAAUCAAAAAUUUCAAUAAACUUCUUUUUCUUGCUCAUAGUAGCUAUGCACUCCUUCCAGUUCCUAUUCUAAUGCCCAUGUCACGACCCAAAUCCGAGGGUUCGUGAUUGGUGCAUGAGCCCAACAGGCAAGCCCACUAGACCUAAGCAAGCUUGAGAAUCCAAAAUCAUAUAACAUAAGCCAAGAAAUUUAAUAAUCAAAUGUUCACAAUAAAACCAAAUAUAAUACAUUAGCCCUGGCACAUAAUUUAUAUAAAUGUUUAUAGGGCCAUACACUGGCCAUCCAAGAUGGGUUUGUACAUAACAACCCUUACAUAAGUUCAUAUGGCACAUUGUGCCUACAUACACAACAAAUUAAGUGCAAAGUGGAAGCUCAUGACUGCCACAACAGAGUGACACAACGGAUGGAAAACUACCGGAUGCCAACAUGGGUUUGACGCGGGACGACCUUUACUCACAGCUUUGUAGCCUAUUUAUCUACACAUGGUACACAAUUGUGUGAGUACUAUAAUGUUCAGUGAGUAGUGCAGAUAAACAAAAUGAUAUAUAAUUAUAUAUAUAUAAGUAUUGCAUUCUCGGUGCAACCACAUAAUUCCACAAACAUCUCCAAACACAAGGCAUAUCACUAUCCCUAAAUCUCCAAUGUGAGGGCAUAUCAUCAUCAUCAAUGUCUCCAAAGAUCAUCACACAUAUCAUUAGGCUUACCCUCGAAGCCGAUUAGAGUUAUUCACAUUAUUCUGCACAUCACACUCUAGUCGUUGAAGUAUCACAUCAUAUUCAUAUCAUAUUUAUCCAAGCCUCUCACGACUAUCUCACGUCAUAUGCAAAUCAAAUCAACGAGUGCUCUUCCCUAGACAUAGUCAAAUCAUGCUCUGUGGCCAACUAGUAGAAAAUCAAAUCAUGCUCAGGGUAAAGCCGUUAGCGAAGAAAGAGAUCACACACGUGCCGUAACAACAAGCAGAAAAUAAAUCGCACUUAGCAUCGAAAUAGUUGGCGAAGAAACAAAUCAUGCGUGUGCUAAAGCAAUGGGAGGAAAACAAAUCACGCUUAGCACCGAAGUAACUGAAGGAGAAUUAAAUCAUCGAUUGAAGUAAUCUCCCGACAUGGCAUUACCCAGAGUAAUCUUAAUGAAUGGCAUCAAAGCACUACAAGUGGAAAUCACAAACGGGAUUAGUGUCAUCGUCCUUGUUUACCACCAUCUCUGUAGGCACACACAUAGUCACAGGGGGACGAAACUACACUCCACCACAAAUAAGAUCAACUUUCGAAAUUCACUCCUUGAACGAAAACACAAAUCCACAAACUAAGUGAACUAAGGAUGAGUUAUGAAAUAUAUUGUGCUUUCAAGAUUUAGAUGAUAUGUUAAGUAUGCCAAGUGUAGGGUAAUAUGCAUAUUGACACGUAAUCAAGUUUUUAUGAAAAUAUGCGAUAAAUCUUAUAGUUUGAGGUUUUGAUUUGAAUUUGGUGUUAUAUUUGAGGAAAUAUGUACAUGAGAUAUGAGUUUAAAUGGUUGUGAGAAUUGUGAUUUAAUAAGGGAUGAUUUUUAGUGUCGAAGUUUGGAAUUUUGGAAGUUUAAGGAGCUAAAAAUUGCUUACAAGGGAAAAUAUAUCGAUACAUUCCCAAAUGUAUGGAUACAUUCUUGGCAGAAUGAACUACAUAAGGUGUAUGAAAGAAAUUGUAUCGAUACAUUCCCUAAUGUAUAGAUAGAUUCAUGGUAAGAUGAACAUUUAUAGAUACAUUGCCUAAAUGUAUCAAUAGGUUUGAAGCAAAGGGCACGAAAGGAAAAACAAGUAUUGAUACUAUAAUACCCCGUACUUUGAUAUGGUGAUUAAUAAAGCUUAUUAGAUGCCAAUUGAGGUUAAUUAUAAUGUUUAGAAAUGAUGAAAGAUGAAAGGAUUGGUUUGGGAUAAAAUAUUUCACACACGAGGAAAUAAUAAUAAAAUAAUAAUUUCUUUUCGGAGAAGAAUUUGUGAGAUAAAAAGUGAUUCAGAAGUCAAUUGAGGCCUAAUAAGGUAUUUUGGUUACCAAGGGGACAAAAGGAGACAAGAGGAAAUUUUUGGAAUAAAAUAAUAUUAAAAUAUUAAUAUUUUAUUCAGUGUCAAAAUUUUCCAUGAAGAAUGAGUAUAUGGUCAAUCUAAGUGGGGAAGAAGAAGAAUGAGAGAAUUUUGGAGAAAAAAUAACGUUAAUGGGGCCGAGUGUCUUUAUUAAGUAAAGAUAACGCGGGGUAAAUAAAUAUUUUAAAUAUUAUGGGGACACCACGUUGGAGUACAAACUUCAUACUUUGUUUGUGCAUGUGUAGAAGAAGGUAAUAGAAGGAAAUUAGAGUUAAAUGAGUGUUGAGAGGACUAAAUUAAAAUGGAAGGAAACAAAAAAAGGUAAAAUGGUAAUUUUAUGUGAAGUUUAGUCAAUGCUUCCAAAGGAAGCCUUGACUUUGAUUUUUUUAGGCCAAGAUCGACCCUAUCCUUUCCCCCAGCAGAUUUUUCUUCUUCAUCAUCCAUGCUCCACGCCAUUCUUGAAGCUUCCAUGCCAUUUUCUCUUUAUCCACCAUGAAAUCAAGUUUUCUUCACUUUCCUUUCCAUGUUUUCUUUUCCUUUUUUCUCCAAACUUCUUGAGAAUUAAAUUUACAGUCUUUAACCCCAAUUUCCAGCACACCUAAACCCUAGUAGGAGAAGAAAGAUAAAGAGAGAAAGGAAGAAAAAGCUUAGUUUUGGUGAUUCAAGCAAGGAACGGUAAGAAUUCUUGUUUUUGGCUUGAGUAGUCUUUGAAAAUGAGUUAGUGACUUAGAGAAAUGUCUUGUGGCAGCAAAGAUUUGCUUGAAUGGAGAAAAAUUGGUAACAUGUAAGCUAAUAAACCCAUGGGUACAUGAAGGACUCAAAGUGGAAAAGGAAAAUGGUAAGCUUAACACUAUGUUUUAAAGCCUACGGUUAGUUGAAUAUUGUGAGGCAUUAUAGUUGUUGAAAGGAUUUAUUUGCCUAAGCUAGUUCAAAAUUAUUAAGAUUGUAUGGCAUGUUGUUUGAAAGAAAUGAAAAAGGAAUAUGGGGGAUGGAGGAUUGAGAAACAAAGUAUUGAAAGUUAGAUAGAUAACGAUCCAUGUAAACUAGGAAAUAAUCGAGUGAAAGUGAGAAUGAUUGUUGCUGCCAUAUAUAUGGAUUAUGUGUGGAAAUAUAAGAUGGAUUUGGGCAAAAAUUAUUUAGAAAGGUUGAAGUAGGCAUGUGAUAUCAUAAAUAAGUUACCGGUGAUAUAAUCUAAGGAAUUUCGUAAGCAAUGGAUAUAAGUAAGUUUGGUAAAAAUGUAUUAAGAUGUGACUUAGUUGAAGAUGGUUUCAUGAUAGGCUGAAAAAUAUAAAUUUGAGUAAGGAUUAAUUGAUUGAAAUGCUGCCCCUAUACGUAUAUAAUUAAAUAUAUUGAGUUCGUAUUAUUGUUAGGAAGUGCAAAGAUAAGGUUAGAGUACUGUGGUGGUGUGUUGGAGUAAAUAACGAGCGAUCGACCAGUGAAAAUAGUUAAAGACACCUCCGAUCAAAUAGCGAUUAAUAUCCCGCUAUAGUAAGGUGAGUGAACUUGCACUAAAAUGUUUUGGAUAGAUGUACAUACAUUUGAGCAGACCACUUGAACCGUUUAAAUUAUCUUUUCUUCAAAAUGCAUGGGAACAAGCCUUUAGUGAAAUGUUUUUGUGAUGUGGAACAUGAUUGUGAUGAAUCUAUGUACUUUUAUAUGACGCUGAUAUGUAUAUAAAGAUAUAUGAUAUAUAUAUAUUGUUAAGUAAUUUUGUAUAAUUGAUGUGACUGUGCAUGUGUGGAGUGGGCAGUGCACAUGCCGGUUGAGUGAUAAUGUUGGUAUCAGAGUAAAGGGUUUAACCCGAUCCUUAGGAACUCUCGCAUGUGAACAGUGGCGAAGCCUGACUCUCCGCCCAAGGGCUUGUAGAGAGGGCUGUCCCUUACGAGUGCUCUGAUAGGUACCGUUUGUUGCCACCGUUAAAUGAAGAAGGGCUGCUUGUAGCGAGAGUUGUCCCCUACGAGUGAAGCCGUCGCUGAAAGAGGAAAGGGCUGCUUGUAGCGAGGGUCGUCCCUUAUGAGUGGAGCCCAACCAUGCAUGUGCGGAGUGGGUAGUGUACAUGCCGGUAAUGAUGCUAUCGUGAUAUUUAUAACUGUGCAUGUACGGAGUAGGCAGUGCACAUGCCAGUAAUGAUGCACAUCAGCCGAGUGAGGUGAUGGUGGUGUAAGUGCUUAUACAUAUUUACUAUAUAGAGAUGUUUGGAUUUAAAAUGUGAUUGCAUUGACUAUUGAAAACUUGAGUAUUGUCAAUGUGUUCAAUUUAAUGUGCAAUGUGGCAUGAGUGGAUUUUUUCGGUGGCAGUGAAAGCCCCUUGGAUUUUUAUCUGGCCAGAAUUUCGUUGCAGCGAGAAUGCCUUUUUGCUGCGAUGAGAGUUAAUCUAUUAUGCUUGACGUGCUUGAAAUCUACUAAAGUUUUCACUUCUCAACUUCUUUGUUGUUCAUGAGUCUUUUGUCAUCAAGUAACUAAACGACCAAGGGUUUGAAUGAGGGGUUUUUAAAUAGAGAUAAAUUAAAUUGCACUGUUUUGAACUUAAGUGCAUCAUGCUUUCUAAACCGUCCUUAACGUUGCUUGUUCCCUUCCUAUGUUCACUCAUUGAGUUUAUACUCACGGUUUCAAUUUCAUGUUUUCAGAUUCAGGGGUGGUUGAGACGUAAAUUGAGGUGUCCGCGUACUCUCAUCUUUUGGGCAGGUACUUUGACAUUCAGUAGUCAUAUCUCCCAUCCAAAGUCACUCCGCUGACGGUCAAGUUCUAAUUACGUGUAUAUGACUAUUUGUUGUGAAAUGCUGAGAUUCACUUGUCAAAUUAUAUGUAUGUAUAUAAUGGUUGAUGAUGCCAUUAUGAAUACAUGACUGGGUUUUAUGAGUUGUUUUCAAAGGAAUUGUAAUUGAGCAUUAUGAAUUUUGGAUUCUAAAAGAAUAUGGAUUAACGUAUAAGAUCAUG
rnacentral:lncRNA from 1 species